UUUCGCAAUGCCCGAAAGGGUGACGAAGCGACGCCGCGUGGGUGAGGAAGGCCUUCGGGUUGUAAAGCCCUGUCAGGAGUUAAGAAAUGUAAGUGCGCUAAUAUCGCAUUUAUUUGACAAAGGCUCCAAAGGAAGCCACGGCUAACCCUGUGCCAGCAGCCGCGUAAUACAGAGGUGGCAAGCGUUGUUCGGAAUUAUUGGGCGUAAAGAGCACGUAGGUGGGUUUGUAAGUCAGAUGUGAAAGCCUUCUGUUCAACGGAAGAAUUGCAUCUGAAACUGCAAGUCCUGAGUGUAGGAGGGGAGAAUGGAACUUCUGGUGGAGCGGUGAAAUGCGUAGAUAUCAGAAGGAACGCCGGCGGCGAAAGCGAUUCUCUGGCCUAUUACUGACACUCAGUGUGCGAAAGCUAGGGGAGCAAACGGGAUUAGAUACCCCGGUAGUCCUAGCUGUAAACGAUGGGCACUAAGUAGAGGGGUUUU
rnacentral:rRNA from 1 species